GUGAAUCAUCAAAUUUUUGAACGCAUAUUGCACUCUCUGGUACUCCGGAGAGUAUGCCUGUUUGAGGGUUAGUUAAAUAAAAAUCGGGGUUUUUGCCACCUUUGGUGGUGACGCUUCGGAAUUGGGUCGCCUUUACCUUUCGGUUAAGUGACUUAAAAUUUUUUGUAUGAUAUCUGAGAACGUAUUUAAAUUUAUUUGGUACGUUUUGUAAUAUCAAAUAUUUAUUAGGUGUGGUCAUCCUAAUGAUUCACGUCUAUAAUUUUUCAUCUAAUGACCUCAAAUCAGGUAAGAGUACCCG
rnacentral:misc_RNA from 1 species